UCUAAGCUCUAAAAAUGAAAAUAUAUUUCCUAUAUUA
rnacentral:tRNA from 1 species